GUGAAUCAUCGAAUCUUUGAACGCACAUUGCGCUUCCUGGUAUUCCGGGGAGCAUGCCCGUUUGAGGGUCAGCCUAAAAAAAAUCGACAUUGUUGCUGUUAUUUAAUGGUGACUUUCGUCGGAGAUUGGGUUAUCUUAAACCUUUUUUUUUUUUUUUGGUUUAAGCGACUUAAAAUUUUUUUUCACGAUUCCAUGAACGUUUCUAAGAUUUUUAUUUCUUAUACGUUUAAGGUUUAUCGAUCUUUUAUUAGACGUGACCGUCGCGUCGGAUCGCGUCCGUAAUGUUGACUUUCGUUAA
rnacentral:misc_RNA from 1 species